AUUAGUCUGUAUUAGUAUUAGUCUGUAUUAGUAUUAGUAUGUAUUAUUCUGUAUUAGUAUUAGUCUGUAUUAGUAUUAGUCUAGUAUUAGUCUGUAUUGGUAUUAGUCUAGUAUUAGUCUGUACUAGUAUUAGUCUGUAUUAGUAUUAGUCUGUAUUAGUAUUAGUCUGUAUUAGUAUUAGUCUGUAUUAGUAUUAGUCUGUAUUAGUAUUAGUCAGUUCAUUCGACCUCAUGGCUCCGUUUUUGCUGUGACAUGCACUGUCAACUGUGGGACCUUAUAUAGACAGGUGUGUGCCUUUCCAAAUCAUGUCCAACCAAUUGAAUUUACCACAGGUGGACUCCAAUCAAGUUGUAGAAACAUCUUAAGGAUGAAACAGGAAGCACCUGAGCUCAAUUUCGAAUCUCAUAGCAAAGAAUCUGAAUACUUAUGUAAAUAAGGUAUUUCUGUUUUUUAUUUUUAAUACAUUUGCAACAAUUUCUGAAAACCUGUUUUCACUUUGUCAUUAUGCGGUAUUGUGUAUAGAUUGCUGAGGAUAAAAAAAAAUAAUAAUAAUCAAUUUUAAAAUAAGGCUGUAACAAAAAUAAAGUGUGGAAAAAGUCAA
rnacentral:lncRNA from 1 species